UACGUAGGGUCCGAGCGUUGUCCGGAAUUAUUGGGCGUAAAGAGCUCGUAGGCGGUUUGUCGCGUCUGCUGUGAAAUCCCGAGGCUCAACCUCGGGCCUGCAGUGGGUACGGGCAGACUGGAGUGCGGUAGGGGAGAAUGGAAUUCCUGGUGUAGCGGUGGAAUGCGCAGAUAUCAGGAGGAACACCGAUGGCGAAGGCGGCAUCCUGGACCGACAUUGACGCUGAACGGCGAAAGCUAGGGGAGCAAACGGG
rnacentral:rRNA from 1 species